AUAAGUGGGCCUAAAAGCAGCCACCUUCUAAAAAAGCGUUAAAGCUUCAUUACCCUUAAUAAAAAUACCGCCAACUAACUUUAACCCCUAAACCCCUAUUGAGUGACUUCAUAAAUUUAUGAAAAUCUAUCUGUUAAAACUAGUAACAAGAAGAAGCCCUUCUCCAAAAUGUAAGUAUAAGCCACAAUGAACAAAGCAUCGGCACUUAAAGCCAAUAAACAUCCAGUAACAACCCCGCAAGAAAACCCUACUGCCAACAACGUUAAUCUUACACCAGCACAUUUAUGGAAAGAUUUAAAGAGUAGGAAGGAACUCGGCAAACAACUAACCCCGCCUGUUUACCAAAAACAUCGCCUCCUGAAACCCAUAAGAGGUCCAGCCUGCCCAGUGACUUAGUUAAACGGCCGCGGUACCCUAACCGUGCAAAGGUAGCGCAAUCACUUGUUCUUUAAAUGAGGACUAGUAUGAACGGCAUCACGAGGGUUACACUGUCUCCCUACUUUAAUCAGUGAAACUAAUCCCCCCGUGAAGAAGCGGGGAUAAACAUAUAAGACGAGAAGACCCCAUGGAGCUUUAAACUCAGUACCACCUGCCACUACUAAAACUUAUAAACCACGCAGUGCUGUCUACUGGUUUUCGGUUGGGGUGACCACGGAGUAAAACAAAUCCUCCACAACGAAAGGAACUAACAACCUAAUCUAAGAGCCACACCUCUAAGAAUCAAUAAACUGACUAAACUGAUCCAAUUAUUUGAUCAAUGAACCAAGUUACCCUGGGGAUAACAGCGCAAUCCAUUUCAAGAGCCCAUAUCGACAAAUGGGUUUACGACCUCGAUGUUGGAUCAGGGUAUCCAAGUGGCGCAGCCGCUACUAAAGGUUC
rnacentral:rRNA from 1 species